UACGUAGGGCGCAAGCGUUGUUCGGAUUCAUUGGGCGUAAAGGGUGCGUAGGCGGCGCGGUAAGUCGGGUGUGAAAUCUUGGAGCUUAACUCCGAAACUGCAUUCGAUACUGCCGUGCUUGAGGACUGGAGAGGAGACUGGAAUUUACGGUGUAGCGGUGAAAUGCGUAGAUAUCGUAAGGAAGACCAGUGGCGAAGGCGGGUCUCUGGACAGUUCCUGACGCUGAGGCACGAAGGCCAGGGGAGCAAACGGG
rnacentral:rRNA from 1 species